CGCGAAGAACCUUACCAGGUCUUGACAUCCUCUGACAACCCUAGAGAUAGGGCUUUCCCUUCGGGGACAGAGUGACAGGUGGUGCAUGGUUGUCGUCAGCUCGUGUCGUGAGAUGUUGGGUUAAGUCCCGCAACGAGCGCAACCCUUGAUCUUAGUUGCCAGCAUUCAGUUGGGCACUCUAAGGUGACUGCCGGUGACAAACCGGAGGAAGGUGGGGAUGACGUCAAAUCAUCAUGCCCCUUAUGACCUGGGCUACACACGUGCUACAAUGGACAGAACAAAGGGSUGCGAGACCGCAAGGUUUAGCCAAUCCCACAAAUCUGUUMWCRGUUCGGAUCGCAGUCUGCAACUCGACUGCGUGAAGC
rnacentral:rRNA from 2 species